rnacentral:rRNA from 1 species
GAUGAACGCUAGCGGCAGGCCUAACACAUGCAAGUCGAGGGGUAGAGGAAGCUUGCUUCCUUGAGACCGGCGCACGGGUGCGUAACGCGUAUGCAAUCUACCUUGUACAGGGGGAUAGCCCAGAGAAAUUUGGAUUAAUACCUCAUAGUGUUUAAGAGUGGCAUCACUUUUUUACUAAAGUUCCAACGGUACAAGAUGAGCAUGCGUCCCAUUAGCUAGUUGGUGUGGUAACGGCAUACCAAGGCAAUGAUGGGUAGGGGUCCUGAGAGGGAGGUCCCCCACACUGGUACUGAGACACGGACCAGACUCCUACGGGAGGCAGCAGUGAGGAAUAUUGGGCAAUGGAGGCAACUCUGACCCAGCCAUGCCGCGUGCAGGAAGACGGUCCUAUGGAUUGUAAACUGCUUUUGUACGAGAAGAAACACUCCUUCGUGAAGGAGCUUGACGGUAUCGUAAGAAUAAGGAUCGGCUAACUCCGUGCCAGCCGCCGCAGUAAGAC